AUGGACAUGAGGGCCGCCACUCAGCUCCUGGGGCUCCUGCUGCUCUGUCUCCCAGGUGCCAGAUGUGACAUCCAGGUGACCCAGUCUCCAUCCUCCCUGUCAACAGCGGUGGGAGGCACAGCCACCAUUCAUUGUGAAGUGAGCGAGUACAUUAACAAAGCUUUUGCCUGGUAUCAGCAGAAACCAGGGCAGCCUCCAAAGCUCCUGAUCUAUUAUGCAUCCAGUUUAGUCGAUGGGGUCCCUGACAGGUUCAGUGGCAGUGGAUCUGGGAUGGAGUUCACUCUCACCAUCAGUGGUGUGCAGCCUGAAGAUGCUGCCACUUAUUUUUGUGAACAAAGUUAUGAUUGGCCUACCACAGUGAUACAAAACCAAACAUAA